CCUACGGGGGGCAGCAGUGGGGAAUAUUGGACAAUGGGGGGAACCCUGAUCCAGCCAUGCCGCGUGUGUGAAGAAGGCCCUCGGGUUGUAAAGCACUUUCAGUGAGGAAGAACGCCUGGUGGUUAAUACCCAUCAGGAAAGACAUCACUCACAGAAGAAGCACCGGCUAACUCCGUGCCAGCAGCCGCGGUAAUACGGAGGGUGAGAGCGUUAAUCGGAAUUACUGGGCGUAAAGCGCGCGUAGGUGGCUUGAUAAGCCGGUUGUGAAAGCCCCGGGCUCAACCUGGGAACGGCAUCCGGAACUGUCAAGCUAGAGUGCAGGAGAGGAAGGUAGAAUUCCCGGUGUAGCGGUGAAAUGCGUAGAGAUCGGGAGGAAUACCAGUGGCGAAGGCGGCCUUCUGGACUGACACUGACACUGAGGUGCGAAAGCGUGGGUAGCAAACAGGAUUAGAUACCCCAGUAGUC
rnacentral:rRNA from 1 species